GUGAAAGAGAGAACAGACGCUUUACGAAUUCAUCGUUAUUUGAUGAGUUCCCUCAAAUGCCAAGAAGUGUGAUUUAUGCCCCUAGCAUUAAGAAAACGUAUCACACCGCGUUCUUCACAGUUGGCGGCACUUGCAAUCGGAGGAGGCAUUUUAAACACUUGUAGAGAAUGUGUAACACUAUCAGGAGCAUUUGUGCUGACAUACCUGACAGAGAUAUACAGGCCUAAACCGCUAUACAACCGUGGAUUAUUCCAUGAAGGAGCUUACUUACAACAGAAAAUGCUAUAGCAUUUAAUAAAAUUGGUAUAUAAAAGCAACAGUUUAAUUUCAUAAAUAACAUAUUAUAACUAAGUAAUUGUAACACACAGAAAAUGAUCUUUGAAGAUGUUCGCAGGAUACAAUUUAGUACUUUCACCAAUGUAACUUUAAAGUUUACAAAUUGGUAUCAAAAAUCUGGGAAGCAUCUCUAAAAUCAAAGGGGAUUGGAUUCAAUUGGUACCUGUAGUGAACAGUACUGAAG